AUUGAACGCUGGCGGCAGGCUUAACACAUGCAAGUCGAGCGGGGGAAGGUAGCUUGCUACUGGGCCUAGCGGCGGACGGGUGAGUAAUGCUUAGGAAUCUGCCUAUUAGUGGGGGACAACAUCUCGAAAGGGAUGCUAAUACCGCAUACGUCCUACGGGAGAAAGCAGGGGAUCUUCGGACCUUGCGCUAAUAGAUGAGCCUAAGUCGGAUUAGCUAGUUGGUGGGGUAAAGGCCUACCAAGGCGACGAUCUGUAGCGGGUCUGAGAGGAUGAUCCGCCACACUGGGACUGAGACACGGCCCAGACGCCUACGUGAGGCAGCAGUAGGGAAUAUUGGACAAUGGGCGGAAGCCUGAUCCAGCCAUGCCGCGUGUGUGAAGAAGGCCUUAUGGUUGUAAAGCACUUUAAGCGAGGAGGAGGCUACUUUAGUUAAUACCUAGAGAUAGUGGACGUUACUCGCAGAAUAAGCACCGGCUAACUCUGUGCCAGCCGCCGCUGUAA
rnacentral:rRNA from 1 species